rnacentral:rRNA from 1 species
UUUUUUGACUCUGACCUCAAAUCAGGUAGGACUACCCGCUGAACUUAAGCAUAUCAAUAAGCGGAGGAAAAGAAACUAACAAGGAUUCCCCUAGUAACGGCGAGUGAACCGGGAAGAGCUCAAAUUUGAAAUCUGGCGUGCUCAGUGCGUCCGAGUUGUAAUCUAUAGAGACGUUUUCCGUGCCGGACCGUGUCCAAGUCCCUUGGAACAGGGUAUCAAAGAGGGUGACAAUCCCGUACUUGACACGACGACCGGUGCUCUGUGAUACGUCUUCUACGAGUCGAGUUGUUUGGGAAUGCAGCUCAAAAUGGGUGGUGAGUUCCAUCUAAAGCUAAAUAUUGGCGAGAGACCGAUAGCGAACAAGUACCGUGAGGGAAAGAUGAAAAGCACUUUGGAAAGAGAGUUAAACAGUACGUGAAAUUGUUGAAAGGGAAACGAUUGAAGUCAGUCGUGACUGAGAGGCUCAGCCGGUUCUGCCGGUCUAUUCCCCUCAGUCGGGUCAACAUCAGUUUUGUCCGGUGGAUAAGGGCAGCAGGAAGGUGGCACCCUCGGGUGUGUUAUAGCCUGUUGUCGCAUACAUCGGAUGAGACUGAGGAAUGCAGCUCGCCUUUAUGGCCGGGGUUCGCCCACGUCCGAGCUUAGGAAUGUUACCA